AUGCUGGCUGCCAUCUUGAUAUUCGGUCUCGGUGUUGCGAAGUAUGGGGAGAGAACAUGUGCGCUCUGGUUCGCCAACUUCAGCAGGCUCCGGAGCUCUCUCAAGGUGGUACCACGUGACAAGCAUCACCAAAAUUUUUACACCGAGCAUCAGCACGGCUACGACGACUCCAACGGUGAACUCCUGCAGCUUGCUCACUCCCUGUUUCAUAUCUGCAAGCGUGGGAUAGUUGAUUCCGUGAUGAUGGUGGAUCCAGAUAGCCUGAGCGAGCUGGAUUCUUUGGACAACACAAUAAUCCAUGGCCUCAUGAAAGACCGUGAGCGCAUGUGGACUGUGAUGGAGAUGGAGCUCUCCCUUAUGUACGACAUCCUCUACACCAAGUUGAGCGGCAAAGAUGGUGACAGCCAAGCUGAUGUUGUCGUCACAUUCACCUUGUUGGUUGUUGCCUUGGUCCUGGAGACAAAAUCCCUUGUAGGUGCACUUGGGUCAAGCUGGGUGUUUGCCUUCUUGUGUGCUACACGAUGUAAUUGGCUUCGGCAUGCAGCUCUGUGCAGUGGAAGGUGGCACGGGUUUCGCCACAGACUUGGAUCUCUCCGCCGGUCUUGGCCUGGAAAGGUGAUAAUUACACGAAAUUCGAGGACAUGGUCAGGCACCAUGGGGCAGCACAACAUGUUGCAGUUCCGCACCAGACAGAUGGAUUCGAGGAGUCUCCAGCUCGGCAAUCUUUUCAAGAGGGUGGGGCUCAGCGAGUCGUUUGACAGAAGGUGCUACUCAUGGACUGUUGAGGUCCCAGAGAAGGUCAAGGAGCGUGCACAGCAGGUGGACGACAUAGUCUCACUGGGUGAUAUAAACACAAUGGGCAUGCUCAGGUAUAAUUGGCGUAAAAUGGCGCUGAGUGAGAAGAAGUACCCUGGGCUGUACAUGGAGUUGGAGGGCUGGCAUGGAGUUGACUUCCACGAGAGCAUCAUCAGCUGGCACAUCGCCACCGACUUGAUCCUCGCUGCAAGGCAGCCAAGCGGCCAUGACGCAGCUGACGGCCGUGUGGAGGCAGUCAGGGCACUGUCCAACUACAUGAUGUUCCUCCUGGUGGAUCGCCCCGACAUGCUACCAGGCCUUCCUCAAAACUGGCUGUACAAGAAAACCUGCACCAAUCUGGACGAGUUGUGUAAAAAACACCUAGUUGGUUCUCGAGGCAACAUCUUCACCGCGCUCAAGAGAUUGUUUGGACCACACCAUCACCGCCGUUGCUUAAAUCCUUCUAAGCUCGAGAAGGAGCUUGCCGGGAUCAUACUGGAGCUGCCACACGAGGAGAAUUUCAACUACUACGAAACUCCUCGGCUCAUGUACGCACGCAAGAUUGCUCGGAUACUGCGUCGUAGGGACGAAGAUGAGGUGGAUGUGCUGCUAGACGUGUGGACCGACUUCAUGGCCUAUGCAGCCAACCGGUGCAGCAGGGAGGCGCACGCCAGGAACCUAAACAGCGGAGGUGAGUUGACGACUGUGCUCUGGCUUAUGAUAGAGCACCUCCGCUUGAUAAAACUAAAAGGAGAUGCAACAAAGGUUGACGCUCGUGUGUAA
rnacentral:rRNA from 1 species